UGGAAUGAGAUGUGUAUGUUCCGCCAAAACUUGACCAAAUGCAUUGUGGCCCCUUCCUUCUUUACCUUGGACUGAGCUUGAGAGAGGAGCGCUGUGAUUUUUUUUAACCUGUAUGCCGAUGGUGCUGGAAGCAGUGUGUCCAACAUAGAGCUGGUGAGCUUUUGGCAGGAUUCUCUCCUCUCUUUCCACACGGCGGCGCUCUCGUUCAGCUGCCAGAGAUUCCUGAU